UACAGGGGGGGUAAGCGUUGUUCGGAAUUACUGGGCGUAAAGGGCGCGUAGGCGGCCCGCUAAGUCGAACGUGAAAUCCCCAGGCUCAACCUGGGAACUGCGUCCGAUACUGGCAGGCUUGAAUCCGGGAGAGGGAUGUGGAAUUCCAGGUGUAGCGGUGAAAUGCGUAGAUAUCUGGAGGAACACCGGUGGCGAAGGCGGCAUCCUGGACCGGUAUUGACGCUGAGGCGCGAAAGCUAGGGGAGCAAACGGG
rnacentral:rRNA from 1 species